GCCGGCAUGGUGUAGUGGUAGCACGCUUGGACUCCGGAUCCAGAGGCCCUCGUUCGAUUCGAUGGUGCUGGCA